rnacentral:piRNA from 1 species
UGAGUUCUACAUUGUAUGAAA